AUCCUUUUGUAGUUCAUGAGCAUAAUGACUGGAUAUCACACAUGGGUAAGAUGUGCCACCCUUGAACCUUGUUAUGACCUUGGCACAUUACCCAUCUGACC